rnacentral:misc_RNA from 1 species
GUCGGUUAUAGAAUCUGGCAACCCACGGAGCAAGUUCGGUGUUAUGAGGUGCUCUUGGAUUGGCUGCAUAAUAAUCAGACCAAUAACAAGGUGAGAGUCUAUCAGCGAAAUUCCCAUCAGAAUAGANNNNNNNNNNNNAAUGGCAGCCAAGUUUCACCCCCAUUCAUCCUCCUCUUCCUUUCCCUGGGGUAUGCCAAUGGUGCCUGUACAUACCUGAUACCAUCCAGCAUAGCAUCCCAACAAAAAUGGGUAUGACCGAACACAUGGCAUGCAGAUGCAUUCCCCUUAGUUCCAUGUAUUGAUCUUAUGCGAACCUCAAGACAAUCAGAACCAAUGAUUUUUG